ensembl:lncRNA
GUAUUAAAUGAGCAAUGUUGGCGUCUCGUUGUAAUGUUGUAAUUUCCUGUCACAGCGAGGAGGUUGGGAGACUGGUGGAAAGAGCGGAGCUAUGUGAAAAUGCAGAAUCCCUUGCCUUUUAAUACAUAAGAGAGAGAGGGACACAGGAAGAGAGCGGGAGCUUUAUUGUACAAUCUGACCCCUAUAAUUGGAAAUUUUCUUGUAAAAUGGGCAACGUGACAGAUUUACAUUUUCCUUUAUCCAAAUCGACGAUACGAGAUCUGACCUUUUGCUGUAAUCUCCCUGGGAACACUGUUUACAAAUUGGUUGAAAACUGACCCAAGAUGCCUGUAAAGGCAUUAGUUGGCCAUUCCGCCUGACAGACUACUCCGUGCAACCACCAAAGGGCCACUGACUAAAGGUUGCUGACUUUGAAUGUUAUUCAAAAUAAUCACUGUAAACCAAUUCUCUUUAGAGUGGCCAGGCAAGGGGAAGCCCAUAUUGCAUCUGUAAGCACUGCAAUCAAGGUCGGAGGGCAGGAAAUCCGCUGUAUGCUAUGAUAUUCUUAUGCUUAAACUUAUUCGUGGUUGAUUCAGAGAAAUAAAAAUCUUGGGCUAAGCCUGUCUGUCUGAAUAUAGUCUGGGAUCUUCCUGUGUUUGUCAAGUUACUGCAAACUGAG